AAGAGGAGACCACUGAGGGAACGCCUUCCGCCCACCGACGCCUCCACCGUGACCUCCACUUCUGAGAGGAAUUGCCUACAGAUCAAGUACGGAGUGUGCCUGAAUGGACAUACAGAACUCCAAGGUUCGGCCCUGCGUUGAGGGUUUUCCCAAAGGGGAGGGCCCGGCGGGCGGUGCCUCACAGCCCUCCGCCUGUGGGAGUGGCCCUUUCUACUAAGGAAGCAAGUUCUGCAUGUCCUGGUGACCCUCCACCUGUUUCAUAGAGUCUCAGGGGAGCUCGAGCCUAUCCCAGCUAUCUUAGGGGGAGAGGCAGGGUACACUCUCGACUGGUCACCAGUCUGUUGCAGGGCUAACACAUAGACACAGAAAACCAUUGGCACCUAUGGGCAAUUUAGAUUUUCCAAUUAGGCUAUUUCCACUAACUGCAGGUCGUUGGACUGUGGCAGGAAGCCGGAGUACAAGGAGAGAACCCACGCAAAACCGGGGAGAACAUGCCAGCUCCACACAGAACGAUGGUAGAGCUGAACUCAGGACCUUCUUCCGUUUGGGUAACGGUGCUAACCAGUGUGCUGCCCUGGUAAGAGGAGAACCACUGAGGGAACGCCUUCCGCCCACCGACGCCUCCACCGUGACCUCCACUUCUGAGAGGAAUUGCCUACAGAUCAAGUACGGAGUGUGCCUGAAUGGACAUACAGAACUCCAAGGUUCGGCCCUGCGUUGAGGGUUUUCCCAAAGGGGAGGGCCCGGCGGGCGGUGCCUCACAGCCCUCCGCCUGUGGGAGUGGCCCUUUCUACUAAGGAAGCAAGUUCUGCAUGUCCUGGUGACCCUCCACCUGUUUCAUAGAGUCUCAGGGGAGCUCGAGCCUAUCCCAGCUAUCUUAGGGGAACGGCAGGGUACACUCUCGACUGGUCACCAGUCUGUUGCAGGGCUAACACAUAGACACAGAAAACCAUUGGCACCUAUGGGCAAUUUAGAUUUUCCAAUUAGGCUAUUUCCACUAACUGCAGGUCGUUGGACUGUGGCAGGAAGCCGGAGUACAAGGAGAGAACCCACGCAAAACCGGGGAGAACAUGCCAGCUCCACACAGAACGAUGGUAGAGCUGAAC